CGGAAUUACUGGGCGUAACGGGCUCGUAGGCGGCCAACUAAGUCAGACGUGAAAUCCCUCGGCUUAACCGGGGAACUGCGUCUGAUACUGGAUGGCUUGAGUUUGGGAGAGGGAUGCGGAAUUCCAGGUGUAGCGGUGAAAUGCGUAGAUAUCUGGAGGAACACCGGUGGCGAAGGCGGCAUCCUGGACCAACACUGACGCUGAGGAGCGAAAGCCAGGGGAGCAAACGGG
rnacentral:rRNA from 1 species